rnacentral:lncRNA from 1 species
AGGUGGGCCCAAUAUAAUCACAAGGGUCCUUAUUAGAGGGAAGCAAAAAGGUCAAAGUCAGAAUAAGGAGCUGGGGGCCAGUCUGGUGGCACAGCGGUUAAGUUCGCACGUUCCGCUUCAGCGGCCUGGGGUUCGCAGGUUCGGAUCCCUAUUGCGGACAUUGGCAAAAGCCAUGCUGUGAUGGAGAAAUUCAGCCACGGGAAAAAACCCUGCCUAACAUCAUACACCUGGUGACACAGCACAGAUUCAAGCUAACAGAGAAUCAGACUGGACAGCCAUCCUUCUCACAUUUACCAUUGCAAAACUGUAACUAUCAAUCAUAACUUGGAUUUCUUAUCCCAUUUGCCUUUGAGAAGAAAAACAAAAAUCUCUUAACCAAAGCUUAAAAUUUCAUCCGAAAACGGGAAGGAGAGAAAAUAUUUUAUUUCGAUUCUUUGUGUGAAACUAACAGUUUCCGUGUCAUGAGAAGGCUGCCAAUUCUCCAGUACGUAAAGAUGCCCUAUACUAUGAAGGGUUGCCAUUUAAAGAACAACCAGGAAGCAAUUCAAUGAACAGGAAUUGUUAAGGAUAGGCUUCUUGCUGCAUUCCAAUCGUGUUCUUUUCAAAACCUGGCUUUAUGGAUUUUAAAGAAAUCCUGAGGGGGCACUCUUUUCCUUUUGUCCCGCUGAAAUAUCAUCAUUAAACUCCUCUAAAAAUGGUUUCUGAUAUGAUUCUGCUUUCCAGCUGAGGCAACAUUUUCUAUAAGUAAUAACAAAACAGCUGAACUGAGUAAAAGCAAACUGGGCAGAGAGGAAUAUCAAUCCUGAUGGGACCAAAGGGAGACCUCUGUUAACUUCUGAAGUA